rnacentral:rRNA from 1 species
AUUUCUUACAGUUCUAUUUGUAAGUAACACCUGCUCAAUGAGAUUUAAAUAGCCGCAGAAUAUUAACUGUGCUAAGGUAGCAUAAUCAUUAGCCUYUUAAUUAGAGGCCCGUAUGAAUGGUGAAACAUUUCAUGAACUUUAUUAAAUAAUUUUGUUCAAGUUAAAUUAAGAAUAAAAAUGUUCUUGUAAAAAAAAUAGACGAUAAGACCCUUUUGAACUUUACUUUAGUUUAGCUGGGGCAGCUAAAAAAAAAUCAUCUUUUAUUUUUAUGUUACUUAAUUGACCCAAUAAAUUUGAUUUUAUGAGCAAGUUACCAUAGGGAUAACAGCGUAAUAUUUUUUUAAAGCUCUUAUUUAAAAAUAAGUUUGCGACCUCGAUGUUGAAUUARAGUUUCUUGAACGGUGCAAUAACUAUAAAAGUAGGUCUGUUCGACCUUUAAAACUCUACAUGAUCU